UGGGGACAGGACAGAUGAGGCAGAAGGGGAGGUUAGGGAGGUUUGAAGAGUGAGAAGAACUUCUGCAGUGGCUGACUUGGAAGAUGAAGGAGGUUAUGAACCAGGGAAUGGGGGCAGCCUCUAGAGGCUGAGAACCUGCUGACACCUACCCACAACCGCUAAGGAAAUGAAGACUUUAAUUCCACAACUGCAUGCAACUAAACUCAGCCAACAACCUGAAUAAGUCGGAAAAAGGCUUCUCCAGAGCCUCCAGAUAAGAGGCCAGGCUGGCGACACCUUGAUUUUGACCUUGUGAGACCUAGAGCAGAGAAACUAGCCAAGAUCACUCAGACUUCUGAUCUACAGAACUGUGAGACCGUAAAUUUAUGUUGUAUUAAGCCACUAAUUGCGUGGGAAUUUGUUACAGGAGCAAUAGAAAAUGAAUACACCUUCUGAUGUAGUUUAAUCAGUUGACAUUAGACUCCUCCCGUUUGUAAUAUGGAGAUUUAUUUACAAUGGCGAGAGCUGCUAUGGGGCCAUCCAUAAUAACACAGAAGUCUUGGCCGACAAACACCAGAAGGAGCUGUCUGGAAGUCUGUGACAGGUAGCUGAUGGUAAACCUCAUAGGAUUUGGAGUUAUAUUUGAAGACACUAUCCAAGAUAUUUAUUUGAACUUACACAAAAAGGCUAUUUUCACCCUUAAUAUUAAAAAGCUGAGAUGCAUCCCAGGAGGCAAAUAUCACUCAUGUACCUGGAAGCUUUUACUAAAUGGGUGACACCAAGAUGUGCUACACUGAACCCAACUUCUGCAUGUUUAAGACAAGACGCAAGGUCAAAAAUUUACAUCAGGUAUCUGAAUGUGUAGCAUAUACAACUGAGUGUUGAAAGAAGACAAAAUCGUUUUCAUCACGAAGAAUAUGUGCUCAGUAAGAAUCAGAAUGUUCAAUUGUGUGAAGGUGGGAGAUGGGAAGAUUGGUAUUAUGGCCUGGAUCCAGAAAUCAGUCUUCCACUAUAGGAAAUGGGAAUUUAAAGAUGAUCAGAAGACAGUUGGGAGCAGAGUGAGAAUAAGAACCCUCAACUGCUGUCUCACCUUUCAGAUCACGAAGAAGUUUUUUACAAUGAGCAGAACACUCAACCUGAAAGCAGAAUGGAUUGAGUCACUGCAGCGUGGCAGUGGAAUGGUGUUUGAUGUUGGCAAAGGAAACAUGUACUUCUAGACUGGACAGUUUUCCCUUAGUUUACAGUUUCCAAAUAGAGACAUCACUUUGAAAUAACAUGGAGAACAUACAUGGAUGUACUGAACGAAGAAUAAAGUCUGUGUUGC
rnacentral:lncRNA from 1 species